rnacentral:rRNA from 1 species
UACGUAGGGUGCAAGCGUUAAUCGGAAUUACUGGGCGUAAAGAGUGCGCAGGCGGCUAUGCAAGACAGAUGUGAAAUCCCCGGGCUCAACCUGGGAACUGCAUUUGUGACUGCAUAGCUAGAGUACGGUAGAGGGGGAUGGAAUUCCGCGUGUAGCAGUGAAAUGCGUAGAUAUGCGGAGGAACACCGAUGGCGAAGGCAAUCCCCUGGACCUGUACUGACGCUCAUGCACGAAAGCGUGGGGAGCAAACAGG